GUUUUUUUUGGGUAAUUCUCUGGUUUCAUGGAAGAGUAAGAAGCAGUCUACUAUAUCACGGUCCUCUGCUGAAGCAAAAUAUCGUUCUAUGUGUGCUGCAACAUGUGAAGUAAUUUGGCUUCUUAAUGUUUUAAAGGAAUUAAAGGUUGACAUUAAUCUCCCUAUUAUUCUUCAUUGUGAUAACACAGCAGCUAUGUCUAUAGCUGCUAAUCCCGUUUUCCACGAACGAACAAAACACUUUGAAAUUGAUCUCUUCUUUUUAAGAGAAAAAAUUUCUAAAGGUAUUAUCCGAACUGUGGGAGUUUCUUCCAAGGAUCAGACGGCUGACGUGUUCACCAAAGGUUUGGGCCGUUUAUAAUGUUCUUUGUGGCUGAUGGGCUUCUCUGGAUGGGCUGGUUAGCGUACACAAGAAGCUGUCCAAGCUGUCGUUUGACUGGCGUAUCAAUUAGCCGUCAUGAUCCCUUCCAUUUGUGUGUCAUUCAGAUCCCCAUAAAAAGGCAUCGAAGAUUGGCAGCUUCUAUGAUCAGUUCUCAAGAACAAUUGAACUCUUCUACAAAGUCUACUAAAAAACUCUGAAGUCAGAGACUUUUGGCUGUCAUCUUUCUCUUGCUAGAACAUAUUGUGUUCGGUUCCUUGUUCGAGAGCAUAUUGCAGUCCUUUUGUUCGUGACAGCCGCCGAUCUCUAAUUCAAGAUCUGUUGUGGCUGUGUAGAGAUCGAUAUUGUGCAGUUUCAUUUUCUUUGCUGUAUCUUGACACUGUCCACUGUUGUUCAGUGAUUAUAUAAUUUACUGUUCUUGAUA